rnacentral:misc_RNA from 1 species
AACGCAAAUUGCACUCCCUGGUAUUCCGGGGAGUAUGCCUGUUUGAGGGUCGUUAGAAUAAAAAUCGAGGCGUCGCUCUUUUUUUUAGGGUGAUCGCGUCGGAAUUGAGCCGUCUUUCAAAUGUUAAUUCAUGUCAAAGUGGCUUAAAAUUCAUCCAUCCGGUACGAUUAAAGCGUAUUUAAGAUCAGUUUUGUUCAAGAACGCGCGAUGACGUACCAUCUCAUGUAGUACGUUUGACCUGGGUCAUCAGGUUCAUUCGUAUACGACUCAAACUUUUGACCUCAAAUCAGGUAAGAAUACCCGCUGAACUUAA